rnacentral:misc_RNA from 1 species
UCUCCCGUGAGGGAGCAGUCUCGCCUGAUCCGAAGAUAACAGGCAACAGGGGUUGCGUUCGUUACCCCACUGAAGGGAACAGUUCAAACCACGAACUGACGACGACCAUGCAUCACCUGUCCAGCACCCUCGAAGGCUUCCCGACUUUCAUCAGGAAUGCAGCUGGAUUUCUAACCUUGGUAAGGUUCUUCGUUUGUCGUCGAAUUGAGCCACAUAAUCCACCACUUGUGCGAGUCCCCGUCUAUUCCUUUGAGUUUUAAGCUUGCGCUCGUACUACCCAGGCGGCUCGCUUACCGCGUUAGCUUAGUCUCGCAGAGGGUCGAUACUCCGCGAAACGAGCGAGCAACGUUGAGGGCCAGGACUAC